rnacentral:tRNA from 1 species
GCCCUGUUAGUUAAGUGGUAUAACGGGUCCAUGGUAAGGACCAGUCGCUAGUUCGAUUCUGGCACGGGGCACCA